rnacentral:rRNA from 1 species
UACGGAGGGUGCGAGCGUUUGUCCGGAAUCACUGGGCGUAAAGGGCGCGUAGGCGGCGCGGUAAGCGUGCGGUGAAAGCCCGGGGCUCAACCCCGGGUCGGCCGUGCGGACUGCCGGGCUCGAGCACUGUAGAGGCGGGUGGAAUUCCGGGUGUAGCGGUGGAAUGCGUAGAGAUCCGGAAGAACACCGGUGGCGAAGGCGGCCCGCUGGGCAGUGGCUGACGCUGAGGCGCGACAGCGUGGGGAGCAAACAGG